UACGUAGGGUGCGAGCGUUGUCCGGAAUUACUGGGCGUAAAGAGCUCGUAGGUGGCUUGUCGCGUUGUUCGUGAAAACUCACAGCUUAACUGUGGGCGUGCGGGCGAUACGGGCAGACUGGAGUACUGCAGGGGAGACUGGAAUUCCUGGUGUAGCGGUGGAAUGCGCAGAUAUCAGGAGGAACACCGGUGGCGAAGGCGGGUCUCUGGGCAGUAACUGACGCUGAGGAGCGAAAGCAUGGGGGAGCGAACAGG
rnacentral:rRNA from 1 species